rnacentral:rRNA from 1 species
AGUGAACGCUGGCGGCAUGCCUAAUACAUGCAAGUCGAACGGAGUGGCACACGGGUGAGUAAUGUAUAGCUAAUCUGCCCUACACUAGAGGACAACAGUUGGAAACGACUGCUAAUACUCUAUAGUGUAGGAUGAGGCUAUAUUGUAUCAGCUAGUUGGUGAGGUAAUGGCUCACCAAGGCUAUGACGCAUAACUGGUCUGAGAGGAAGAUCGGUAACACUGGAACUGAGACACGGUUCAGACUCCUACGGGAAGGAGCAGUAGGGAAUUUUUGUUAUGGGGGGAAAGCGUGAACCAGCAACGACGCGUGGAGUAUGAUCGGCAGCGGAGAAUGUGUACAUUUGAUUAGGAAUGCGGUACCUGACGAAUAAGCACCGGCUAACUCCGUGCCAGCAGCCGCGGUAAUAC